rnacentral:rRNA from 1 species
GCUAAAAAUUUAGCCCGUGUAACCCCAAUGCCCCCCUCAACCUAUUAACCCCAAACAAAACAUUCUACCAUUUUAGUACAGGAGAUCAAAAAAUUACUAGGCGCUUCAAAUAUAGUACCGAAAGGGAAAAAUGAAAUAAAAAUGAAAUAAAUCUUAAGCCCAACAUAGCAGAGAUUUCCCCCCGUACCUUUUGCAUCAUGGUCUAGCCAGUUCCCCCAAGCAAAAAGAAAUUUCAGUUUGACACCCCGAAACUAAGUGAGCUACUUCAGAACAGCCUCAAGGGCCAACCCGUCUCUGUUGCAAUAGAGUGGGAAGAUUCUCAAGUAGAGGUGACAAGCCUACCGAACUUAGAGAUAGCUGGUUACUUGAGAAAAGAGUAUUAGCUCUGCCUUAAGCUACAGAAUGCAAUCUAACAAAGUGCCUAGCUUAAGAGUUAUUCAAGUAAGGCACAGCUUACUUGAAACAGGAUACAACCUUAAAUAAUGGGUAAACGUUAAACCUAUUGCCUAAGUAGGCCUAAAAGCAGCCACCUUUAAAAAAGCGUCAAAGCUUAGUCACUUCACCCCUCAAAUUCCUAUUUAACAUCUGAACCCUUUACCCCUACCAAGUAAUUUUAUACUUCUAUAAAAGAUAUAAUGCUAGAACUAGUAACAAGAAAAUGCUUUCUCCUAAAUGUGAGCAUAAACCAGGAUGGACUCCCCACUGGUAGUUAACGUAAAUGCACCUUUUAUAGCAACACUAACAAGAAAACCCUAUUAACUUAAACGUUAACCUAACACUAGAACAUUUCAGGAAAGAUUAAAAGAGAAAAGAAGGAACUCGGCAGAUUUUAGCCCCGCCUGUUUACCAAAAACAUCGCCUCUUGAAAAUAUAAGAGGUCCAGCCUGCCCAGUGACGAAGUUCAACGGCCGCGGUACCCUAACCGUGCGAAGGUAGCAUAAUCACUUGUUCUUUAAAUAGGGACUAGUAUCGAUGGCAUCACGAGGGCUGCACUGUCUCCUUUCUCCAAUCAGUGAAACUGAUCUCCCCGUGAAGAAGCGGGGAUUUUGAUAUAAGACGAGAAGACCCCAUGGAGCUUAAAGCAACGAGUUUACCUUUAACUCGUAUUUCUACUAAUUUCAGGAGCCUAAAUUCUAGCUUUUGGUUGGGGGGACCGCGGAGUAUAACCCAACCUCCGCAACUAACGGGCUUUGCCCUAAUCUAUGAGCCACACCUCUAAGAAUCGGUAAAUUGAUGCCUUUGACCCGAGGACUCGAUCGGUGGACCAAGUUACCCUGGGGAUAACGGCGCGAUCUACUUUGAGAGCCCCUAUCGACAGAGUAGGCUUACG